UGGGUACACAUGAAGUACGCAAAGUAUCUUUGUAUCCUGCAACACCACCCAGACAGAAUACCAGCUACAGAAACUACACACACAGCUGCAGGAGAGGACUGUACGCAUCAACCAGCUGGAGAGAGGGGAGAAGAGCAGCAGUCUCCGGCACUUUAAAACUACUCUGGACUUGAAUAAGAGGGACACCCAUAGGCGUUGGAGUCUCAGAGAGCUGGAUCGGAGCAAUCUAAGGAGCUAGAGGAUCAAAUCUAAAUGGUGUGGUUUUUGGAGACGGAUGAGUUGAGUAGCUGUGUGCAGCAGAUACAGGGAGUGAAGGGACGCUAUGAGAGAGUGAGCUGGAGACACGAGCCAAAGAGGUAUAACGUCAUUAAGAUCUGGAUAGUUUCUUCAUUCAUUUCCUGUACAAUACUCAUCACACAAUGUAUAUUGCAUCUGUGGGGGACA